GCAUCAGCCUGAGGGAGCAGGAACAAGGAUCUCACCAUGGUCUGGACGCCUCUCCUUCUGGGCCUCCUGGCUCACUGCACAGGAUCUGUGGUCUCUUAUAAGCUGACUCAACCAUCUUCAAUGUCUGCAAACCUGGGGCAGACAGCCCAGUUGACCUGUGGAGGGAACAACAUUGAAAGAAAAAGUGUUCAUUGGUACCAGCAGAAGCCAAGCCAGUCCCCAGUACUAACCAUCUAUAACGAUAAUAGUCGGCCCUCUGGAAUCCCUGACCGCUUCUCAGGCUCCAACUCAGGAAAUAUGGCCACCCUGACGAUCAGCAAGGUCCGGACUGAAGAUGAGGCUGACUAUUAUUGUCAGGUGUGGGACAGUAAUGAUAAAGCUCACAGUGAUAAAACACAGAUGGGGAAGUGAGACACAAACCCCUACCCCAUCUGGGUCACACUCUUCCUGCAGCCCCAGGAUGACUGUAGACACAGCAGUGAGCAGGUUUGACCAGAUCCUACAUUUCAGAUCCCAGGCUUCUCUCCCUCAAUUCUUCCUGUCAGGUUCUGCAUUCUGGACCAGGGGUAAAUUUAUGACACCAGAACCUAUUGCUUUCUGGGGGUAUAUGAUCAGAUAUAAAGUUAUAUGUGGGAAAAGGAGCAGACAGAGAGAGAGAGAGAUCUUCAAUACCCAUAUGGAGAUCACUUUUGUAUACAAAUCCAUAGGAUAAGACCACAACAAUUCCCAUUAAGAUCAGUCCCUGAAAUUCUAGCCUCCAAUAGAAGCAAGAAAUUCUGAAUGGAUGAUACUAACAGAGUAAGCCCCUAUUUUCAUUGAUAUUAUUUUUCAGGCUUUACUUAGCAGCCAUUAUUGCUGGAAUACCCCAAAUACUAGGAGAUCUCAGUGGGAAUUUAGUUGAUUCAGAAAAUUGCCUUCGCACAUUAAUGCUUCUUAUCAAAGAUUUUUACUUUAUGAUGCGGAGGUCUGAUUUCUGUCUCUGAAGUCAGGUAGGAUGAUAUGCAAGUCCCCAACAUGAUAGCUCUCCUAAGACCUUUUUUUUUUAAUUUUUAAUUUUUGAUUAUCUUUAUUUACCUAUUGGAUAGAGAGAGCCAUAAAUAGAGAGGGAAGGAGGAGAUAGAGAGUGAGAGAGACAGAGAGACAGAGAGACACCUGUAGCCCUACUUUACCACUUGUGAAGCUUUCCCCCUGCAGCUGGGGACCAGGGGC